UUGGAAACUAUAUUUGACAUGUGUGUGAUUUUGGAAACUAUAUUUGACAUGUGUGUGAUUUUGGAAACUAUAUUUGACAUAUGUGUGAUUUUGGAAACUAUAUUUGACAUAUGUGUGAUUUUGGAAACUAUAUUUGACAUAUGUGUGAUUUUGGAAACUAUAUUUGACAUGUGUGAUUUUGGAAACUAUAUUUGACAUGUGUGAUUUUGGAAACUAUAUUUGACAUAUGUGUGAUUUUGGAAACUAUAUUUGACAUGUGUGAGAUUUUGGAAACUAUAUUUGACAUAUGUGUGAUUUUGGAAACUAUAUUUGACAUGUGUGAGAUUUUGGAAACUAUAUUUGACAUAUGUGUGAUUUUGAACUACAGACACUUUCGGCAUUUCUUAUGAAAAUGUAAAAAGUUGUUUCUUGAAUACUUUUCUCAUUUUGUCAGGAAUCAUAAACUGGUAUUGGAUGUGACUAUUUUAUUCAACAAUUACAAUAGAUUUGACUGUUUUUCCAGAACCUUCUGCAGAUGUCAUUAGCAUCACAUCAUAAAACAUUAUAUAUUUUAUUUUAAAACUUUAUGACAAACAAUGGUUUUAUUUAAUCUGUCUAUAUGAUUUGGUGCUACCACAAUAAGAAACAUAUAUUUUAAUUUAUUAAUCCAUAAAUAUGUGCCUUUUGCUGGCUGAGCUUCUAUACCGGCACGGAGGCUACCAUCGACAAUGCAAUUUAUUGUUGAAAUUGUUAUAUAUUUAUAAUUUCUACAAUCGUUAUAUUGGGAACAAGUGCUUUACACUUGACAUAGACAGAAGUGUGCUAUUUCAUGUGUAAAUAUUUAUUUUCUUUAGAAUGCUGUGUCCACCUGACACAGCCAGAAGAGGACUUGCCACCCCUCAGAGCCUGGUUCCUCUUUCUAGGGAGUUUUUCCUAGCUUUUCCUUCUACACCUGCAUUGCUUGCUGUUUGGGGCUUUGGGCUGGGCUUCUGUACAGCACUUUGGGACAUCUGCUAAUGUAAAAAGUGCUUUAUAAAUACAUUUGAUUGAUUACAUUGUGGCAGUAAUGACGGGGUAAUGGUGUAUCGCAUUAGGAUAGUUGUUGAAAAUAAGUGGGAGGAAAUGGAUAUCUACACAUAAUCGAUUGCUAUAAAGACAGUAUAAUAUCAUGUAGUAAGCAGUAAUGAGCAGAGGUAUACAUUCUAUUCAGAAGUUAUACAAAAAGUCACUAUUUUGUAAUGGUAAUAACCCGGGAAAUGAUCAAUACCGACACAUUUUGUGUUGGAAAUGACAAUUAGUUAAUUUUUGUGAUUGAACUGCCAGUCCAUAAGGUUUCUCUUACUUGACUUAAAACCUUUUGCUUUUAGGGGAGCAUAGGUCAUUCACAAACUUCCCCUAUGCCGUUGUGAGUUCUCCAUGGCCCAAUCCAGCCCCAUUUCCUGCAUUUUAUUUGGAUUUCAUGUAGUUAUUGUUGUGCGACUUCCUAGAGCUCUUUGUUUCUUCUGGGUGUUUGACAAGUAUAUUGACAGGAUGUGUCUCAGGCAUUUGUUUAUGAAAGUUUGAUGUCUAUUGCUCGUUACGUUUGUGUUUCUCCACGUUUCUUCCCCGUAGAACUGAUUUGAUAUUGGAGUUGAAGAUGCAUAUUUGAUUUCUUGUUGAAAUGAUCUUGGAGGUCCAUAUUUGAUUUCUUGUUGAAAUGAUCUUGGAGGUCCAUAUUUGAUUUCUUGUUGAAAUGAUCUUGGAGGUCCAUAUUUGAUUUCUUGUUGAAAUGAUCUUGGAGGUCCAUAUUUGAUUUCUUGUUGAAAUGAUCUUGGAGGUCCAUAUUUGAUUUCUUGUUGAAAUGAUCUUGGAGGUCCAUAUUUGAUUUCUUGUUGAAAUGAUCUUGGAGGUCCAUAUUUGAUUUCUUGUUGAAAUGAUCUUGGAGGUCCAUAUUUGUCUUGACGUUUAAAAAAGCUCUUCUUGACUUCCCUAUUCUUGUUUGUCAGUCCGUCAUUUCCUCCAGCUUUCCCGAUUACACUUCCCAGGUCAGUGAAUAUAUGUUACUUCUCCCAGGUCAGUGAAUAUAUGUUACUUCUCCCAGGUCAGUGAAUAUAUGUUACUUCUCCCAGGUCAGUGAAUAUAUGUUACUUCUCCCAGGUCAGUGAAUAUAUGUUACUUCUCCCAGGUCAGUGAAUAUAUGUUACUUCUCCCAGGUCAGUGAAUAUAUGUUACUUCUCCCAGGUCAGUGAAUAUAUGUUACUUCUCCCAGGUCAGUGAAUAUAUGUUACUUCUCCCAGGUCAGUGAAUAUAUGUUACUUCUCCCAGGUCAGUGAAUAUAUGUUACUUCUCCCAGGUCAGUGAAUAUAUGUUACUUCUCCCAGGUCAGUGAAUAUAUGUUACUUCUCCCAGGUCAGUGAAUAUAUAUGUUACUUCUCCCAGGUCAGUGAAUAUAUAUGUUACUUCUCCCAGGUCAGUGAAUAUAUAUGUUACUUCUCCCAGGUCAGUGAAUAUAUAUGUUACUUCUCCCAGGUCAGUGAAUAUAUAUGUUACUUCUCCCAGGUCAGUGAAUAUAUAUGUUACUUCUCCCAGGUCAGUGAAUAUAUAUGUUACUUCUCCCAGGUCAGUGAAUAUAUAUGUUACUUCUCCCAGGUCAGUGAAUAUAUAUGUUACUUCUCCCAGGUCAGUGAAUAUAUAUGUUACUUCUCCCAGGUCAGUGAAUAUAUAUGUUACUUCUCCCAGGUCAGUGAAUAUAUGUUACUUCUCCCAGGUCAGUGAAUAUAUGUUACUUCUCCCAGGUCAGUGAAUAUAUGUUACUUCUCCCAGGUCAGUGAAUAUAUGUUACUUCUCCCAGGUCAGUGAAUAUAUGUUACUUCUCCCAGGUCAGUGAAUAUAUGUUACUUCUCCCAGGUCAGUGAAUAUAUGUUACUUCUCCCAGGUCAGUGAAUAUAUGUUACUUCUCCCAGGUCAGUGAAUAUAUGUUACUUCUCCC